AUAUUUUUACAACAUAGAUCAAACGUUGCUAAAAAGAAAAACUCACCAAAAUCUAAUUAGUCCUAAUUUUUCCUUCUUUUCUCGUCUCCACCUCUUACCCGUCUCUCAUCACCUCCUCUUUUGACAUUAUCGAUCCUUCUUAGAGGCAGACACCGCUGUCACUGGAAGGCACCACCAUAACCAACUGUGGCUUGCAAGUGAAUAAGCCUCUUGCCGAGGACCACAACAGCAAGGUCGACGACUGAGGCCGUAACAUGUGCAAGCCUAUAAUCUGUGCAAGCCUAUAAUCUGUGCCACCAGGGGUUUUCAUAUCAUCCGUGAACUCUGCCACAAGACUGAUGGGUAGACCAUUGAGUGGCUUCUCCGUCACGUAGAGCCUUCAAUUAUAGCUGCCAGCGGCACCGACACAACCCCUACUAGUUUCGCCACUGUUUGCACCUCCACUUGGAACUCCUCCAUCCCUCAUUCACAGCUUACUCCAGUCAAUCUUCCGAACAAUCAAGGGAAGACGAUGGUAAUUCAUAUUAAAUUAUGAAUUAUUUAAGCUAAGUCAUCAGUUGUGCAUAAGUUUCUGUAUAUUUGGUUUUUUUAUUGUGAAUUAUCAUCGUGGUUUUCAAUUUAUGAUGCUGAUAUUGAUAAAUUCAGUGUAUGACGUAAUUUUUAAAAUUCAGAGUUGAGACUGCUGUUGUUAAAAAAAAAAAAAAAAAAAAUGGAGAACAUUCCCUUUCCCAUAUCUGCUGUUUAGUAUUAUCAAUCUGUGUAACAUGCUCUGCUGUAGCUACUUUGGCUUUUCUAGCUAGCGGAGUCUUAUUAUCUAAGAGGGAUUCUUGGUGUUGUAUUAGAUGUAUUUGUAAGAGAGGCAUAAGCAUAGGUUUCUGAGGAGACGCUCAUUUCAUUGCUUAUGAACAGGGGUUGAACACUUGUUGAGAGAUGUGAAAUGCUUUCAACUAACGUCAAUUUGGGUUGAUUAUUUUGUUUGAACAGAAUGAUGCUACCUCACAGAAGGAUGAUGAAGGGCCAGUUGACGCAGCAAGCUAGAGCUAUGAAACCGCCCCUUUCUCAUUUAACUCGUCGGAUACUACUAUUCCUAGACCAAUGCCACUUGUGUCGAUACACAUGAUUUAAUUCAGAUUUCUCGAGAAGGAUCCUUUCAUUUACUCUAGUGCAUUUUGCAGUAGCUAUAGAGCUUGGACAUUCCAACGAGCUCUAUCUCAUGGCAUGUAAUUUUGUCAAGGAUUAUCCUUAAGAGUAUGCAUCUAUAAUGUUUUAUAAUUUAUAUUGACAAUCAUUGUUAAUCUUGAGAAAUAAUAUUAUGUUAUUGCUCUUAUUUGUUUUCUAAAUAUUCUGUUAGUUUUCCACCAGAGUUGAGUGUAUGACAUAAACUAUCAAGGAAAUGGGUUAUUAUAUGAAGCAAGCAACCCUAUUUUGGUGUAAUAUUCUCGGGGGGUUGGUGGCUGACACGGCU
rnacentral:lncRNA from 1 species